rnacentral:rRNA from 1 species
UACAGAGGUCCCAAGCGUUGUUCGGAAUUACUGGGCGUAAAGCGCGCGUAGGCGGACCUGCAAGUCGGGGGUGAAAGCCCGAGGCUCAACCUCGGAACUGCCUUCGAUACUGCGGGUCUCGAGUCCGGGAGAGGUGAGUGGAAUUCCUAGUGUAGAGGUGAAAUUCGUAGAUAUUAGGAAGAACACCAGUGGCGAAGGCGGCUCACUGGCUCGGUACUGACGCUGAGGCGCGAAAGCGUGGGGAGCAAACAGG